AGUGAACGCUGGCGGUAGGCCUAACACAUGCAAGUCGAACGGCAGCACAGUAAGAGCUUGCUCUUACGGGUGGCGAGUGGCGGACGGGUGAGGAAUACAUCGGAAUCUACUCUUUCGUGGGGGAUAACGUAGGGAAACUUACGCUAAUACCGCAUACGACCUACGGGUGAAAGCAGGGGAUCUUCGGACCUUGCGCGAUUGAAUGAGCCGAUGUCGGAUUAGCUAGUUGGCGGGGUAAAGGCCCACCAAGGCGACGAUCCGUAGCUGGUCUGAGAGGAUGAUCGGCCACACUGGAACUGAGACACGGUCCAGACUCCUACGGGAGGCAGCAGUGGGGAAUAUUGGACAAUGGGCGCAAGCCUGAUCCAGCCAUACCGCGUGGGUGAAGAAGGCCUUCGGGUUGUAAAGCCCUUUUGUUGGGAAAGAAAAGCAGCAGGUUAAUACCCCGCUGUUCUGACGGUACCCAAAGAAUAAGCACCGGCUAACUUCGUG
rnacentral:rRNA from 1 species